CAGGACGAACGCUGGCGGCGUGCUUAACACAUGCAAGUCGAGCGGAAGGGCCUUUCGGGGGUACUCGAGCGGCGAACGGGUGAGUAACACGUGAGUAAUCUGCCCUUGGCUUUGGGAUAACUACCGGAAACGGUGGCUAAUACCGGAUACGACCACUCCUUGCAUGAGGUGGUGGUGGAAAGUUUUUCGGCCAGGGAUGUGCUCGCGGCCUAUCAGCUUGUUGGUGGGGUAAUGGCCUACCAAGGCUUCGACGGUAGCCGGCCUGAGAGGGUGACCGGCCACACUGGGACUGAGACACGGCCCAGACUCCUACGGGAGGCAGCAGUGGGGAAUAUUGGACAAUGGGCGGAAGCCUGAUCCAGCAACGCCGCGUGAGGGAUGACGGCCUUCGGGUUGUAAACCUCUUUCAGUACCGACGAAGCGCCGAUGAUGGUGGUGACGGUAGGUACAGAAGAAGCACCGGCCAACUACGUG
rnacentral:rRNA from 1 species